rnacentral:rRNA from 1 species
CAGUAGCCACGGUAAUACGUAGGGUGCGAGCGUUAAUCGGAAUUACUGGGCGUAAAGCGUGCGCAGGCGGUUUUGUAAGACAGAGGUGAAAUCCCCGGGCUCAACCUGGGAACUGCCUUUGUGACUGCAAGGCUAGAGUACGGCAGAGGGGGAUGGAAUUCCGCGUGUAGCAGUGAAAUGCGUAGAUAUGCGGAGGAACACCGAUGGCGAAGGCAAUCCCCUGGGCCUGUACUGACGCUCAUGCACGAAAGCGUGGGGAGCAAACAGGAUUAGAUACCCCGGUAGUCCCUGUCUCUUAUAA